GUGGUGAUCCCAGAGGUAUUGAUUGGUGAGAUUAUUCGGUACGCUCUUCGUACCUGUCUCUUGCACCAACCUGCGCGGAUGCGCAGGUU
rnacentral:sRNA from 2 species